rnacentral:rRNA from 1 species
GACGAACGCUGGCGGCGUGCUUAACGCAUGCAAGUCGAACGGAAAGGCCCUGCUUUUGUGGGGUGCUCGAGUGGCGAACGGGUGAGUAACACGUGAGUAACCUGCCCUUGACUUUGGGAUAACUUCAGGAAACUGGGGCUAAUACCGGAUAGGAGCUCCUGCUGCAUGGUGGGGGUUGGAAAGUUUCGGCGGUUGGGGAUGGACUCGCGGCUUAUCAGCUUGUUGGUGGGGUAGUGGCUUACCAAGGCUUUGACGGGUAGCCGGCCUGAGAGGGUGACCGGCCACAUUGGGACUGCGAUACCGCCCAGACUCCUACUUGAGGCAACAGUGGGGAAUGUUGGACAAUGAGCGGAAGCCGGAUGCAGCAACGCCGCGUGCGGGAUGACGGUCUUCGGGUUGUAAACCGCUUUCGCCUGUGACGAAGAGUGAGUGACGGUAAUGGGUAAAGAAGCACCGCCUAACUACGUG